rnacentral:rRNA from 1 species
UUAAAAUUAAAUAAUUGAUUCAGUUUUAUUUGUAAAACAAUUAUAAAAUUGGAGAGAAUUGGCGGUAUUUAAAAGUUUUUGAGAAGCUUGUUUGUGUAAGUGGAUAUUACCCUUUUUAUCUUACCUUUCUUAUUUACUUAUAUAUUGCUGUUUUAUUUGUUAUUUAUUAAAAUGAAUAAUAUGAAAUUAUUUUAAAAAAUUCAAGUCAAAAUGUAGUUAUAGUUAGGUAUAAAUGAGUUGCAUUUUUUAGUAUAAAGUGAUGAAGUAGAAUUUAAAUAAAUAAGAUAAGUUGGAUUAAAAAGUAAAUAAGAAAGUAGUUAGUUUUGUUGAAUAUUAUUUUAAUAUGU